rnacentral:tRNA from 1 species
GGGCCGGUGGCGUAAUUGGAAGCGCACCUCCCCUGCAAGGAGGCGAGUGCCGGUUCGAGUCCGGCUCGGUCCA